UACGUAGGGUGCGAGCGUUGUCCGGAAUUACUGGGCGUAAAGAGCUCGUAGGUGGUUUGUCGCGUUGUUCGUGAAAACUCACAGCUCAACUGUGGGCGUGCGGGCGAUACGGGCAGACUGGAGUACUGCAGGGGAGACUUGAAUUCCUGGUGUAGCGGUGGAAUGCGCAGAUAUCAGGAGGAACACCGGUGGCGAAGGCGGGUCUCUGGGCAGUAACUGACGCUGAGGAGCGAAAGCGUGGGGAGCGAACAGG
rnacentral:rRNA from 1 species